rnacentral:rRNA from 1 species
UGCCAGCAGCCGCGGUAACACGGGGGGCGCAAGCGUUAUUCGGAAUUACUGGGCGUAAAGGGUGCGUAGGCGGCCCAUCAAGUUAGAUGUGAAAGCCCCGGGCUCAACCUGGGAACUGCAUUUAGAACUGGGCAACUAGAGUACAGCAGAGGAGUGUGGAAUUUCAGGUGUAGCGGUGAAAUGCGUAGAGAUCUGAAGGAACAUCAGUGGCGAAGGCGACACUCUGGGUUGAUACUGACGCUGAGGUGCGAAAGCGUGGGGAGCAAACAGGAUUAGAUA